rnacentral:lncRNA from 1 species
UUCAUCCAGUGCUCUGCCACUUCAAGGUAAACUUUGGCUACAUUUCUUCCACCUUAUUCCCUGACAUCACCUGCGAUUAAUGAAGAGCAACAACUAUUAAUCAUUUCAGCCAUUUCAAUUCGCUCAAUACCUCAACAAUUGAAGGAGUAGAGAGAUAACCUUCAUUAAUUACUCUGCCAAGUUUAAGGGUAAGCCAUGCUUUAACUCUCUCUAGCUCUACCAUGUAUUCCUCCUGCAUUUAUUAAGAUGAACGUCAAAUAACUCUAUUUCAGAUCCUAUCAGCUUCAUUUAAUCCAACCAUAACAACAACCAACACCAUCUCAAGGUAUU